rnacentral:rRNA from 1 species
AGAGUUUGAUCAUGGCUCAGAAUCAACGCUGGCGGCGCGCUUAACACAUGCAAGUCGAACGAGAAAGGGGAGCAAUCCCUGAGUAAAGUGGCGUACGGGUGAGUAACACGUGGAUGAUCUACCUCUUGGCGGGGAAUACCCCUGGGAAACCGGGGACAAUACCGCAUAAGCUCGGAAGAGGAAACCUGAAAAGGGCCGAGAGAGGAGUCCGCGGCCGAUUAGCUAGUUGGAAGGGUAAAAGCCUCCCAAGGCAAAGAUCGGUAGCCGGCCUGAGAGGGCACACGGCCACACUGGCACUGAAACACGGGCCAGACUCCUACGGGAGGCAGCAGUGGGGAAUCUUGCACAAUGGGGGAAACCCUGAUGCAGCGACGCCGCGUGAGCGAUGAAGCCCUUCGGGGUGUAAAGCUCUUUCGACGGGAACGAUAAUGACGGUACCCGGAGAAGAAGCUGCGGCUAACUACGUGCCAGCAGCCGCGGUAAUACGUAGGCAGCAAGCGUUGUUCGGAGUUACUGGGCGUAAAGAGUGCGUAGGCGGUUUACCAAGUCUGCUGUGAAAUCUCCCGGCUUAACUGGGAGGGUGCGGUGGAAACUGGUAGGCUUGAGUGUGGGAGAGGUAAGCGGAAUUCCUGGUGUAGCGGUGAAAUGCGUAGAUAUACGGAGGAACACCUGCGGCGAAGGCGGGUAGCUGGGCCAACACUGACGCUGAUGCGCGAAAGCUAGGGGAGCAAACGGGAUUAGAUACCCUAGUAGUCC